rnacentral:rRNA from 1 species
UACGAAGGUGGCAAGCGUUGUUCGGAUUCACUGGGCGUAAAGGGUGCGUAGGUGGUGAGGUAAGUCGGAUGUGAAAUCUCCGAGCUCAACUCGGAAAUGGCAUUGGAAACUACCUUGCUAGAGGGUUGGAGGGGGGACUGGAAUACUUGGUGUAGCAGUGAAAUGCGUAGAUAUCAAGUGGAACACCAGUGGCGAAGGCGAGUCCCUGGACAACACCUGACACUGAGGCACGAAAGCUAGGGGAGCAAACAGG